AUUGCCUCAGUAACGGCGAGUGAAGCGGCAACAGCUCAAAUUUGAAAUCUGGCCCCAGGCCCGAGUUGUAAUUUGCAGAGGAUGCUUUUGGCGCGGUGCCUUCCGAGUUCCCUGGAACGGGACGCCAUAGAGGGUGAGAGCCCCGUCUGGUCGGACACCAAGCCUCUGUAAAGCUCCUUCGACGAGUCGAGUAGUUUGGGAAUGCUGCUCUAAAUGGGAGGUAUAUGUCUUCUAAAGCUAAAUACCGGCCAGAGACCGAUAGCGCACAAGUAGAGUGAUCGAAAGAUGAAAAGCACUUUGAAAAGAGAGUUAAAUAGCACGUGAAAUUGUUAAAAGGGAAGCGUUUAUGACCAGACUUGGGCCGGUUAAUCAUCCAGCGUUCUCGCUGGUGCACUUUGCCGGUCCAGGCCAGCAUCAGUUCGUGGCGGGGGAUAAAGGCGUCGGGAAUGUGGCUCCUCGGAGUGUUAUAGCCCUUCGCGCAAUACCCUGCCGUGGACUGAGGUUCGCGCUCUGCAAGGAUGCUGGCGUAAUGGUCAUCAACGACCCGUCUUGAAACACGGACCAAGGAGUCGUCUUCGUAUGCGAGUGUUCGGGUGUCAAACCCCUACGCGUAAUGAAAGUGAACGCAGGUGAGAGCUUCGGCGCAUCAUCGACCGAUCCUGAUGUUCUCGGAUGGAUUUGAGUAAGAGCAUACGGGGCCGGACCCGAAAGAAGGUGAACUAUGCCUGUAUAGGGUGAAGCCAGAGGAAACUCUGGUGGAGGCUCGCAGCGGUUCUGACGUGCAAAUCGAUCGUCAAAUAUGGGCAUGGGGGCGAAAGACUAAU
rnacentral:rRNA from 1 species